CCUACGGGCGGCAGCAGUGAGGAAUAUUGGUCAAUGGGCGGGAGCCUGAACCAGCCAAGUCGCGUGAGGGAAGACGGUCCUAUGGAUUGUAAACCUCUUUAGGCGGGGAGCAAUGCCGGGCACGCGUGCCCGGAGGGAGAGUACCCGCAGAAUAAGCAUCGGCUAACUCGGUGCCAGCAGCCGCGGUAAUACGGAGGAUGCGAGCUUUAUCCGGAUUUUUUGGGUUUAAAGGGUGCGUAGGCGGAUUUUUAAGUCAGCGGUAAAAUGUGCGGGCUCAACCCGGGACUGCCGUUGAAACUGGCGACCUUGAGUGCGCGAGAAGUAUGCGGAAUGCGUGGUGUAGCGGUGAAAUGCAUAGAUAUCACGCAGAACUCCGAUUGCGAAGGCAGCAUACCGGCGCCCGACUGACGCUGAGGCACGAAAGCGUGGGGAUCGAACAGGAUUAGAUACCCCGGUAGUC
rnacentral:rRNA from 1 species